rnacentral:rRNA from 1 species
GUGGGGAAUUUUGGACAAUGGGCGCAAGCCUGAUCCAGCAAUGCCGCGUGCAGGAAGAAGGCCUUCGGGUUGUAAACUGCUUUUGUACGGAACGAAACGGUCCGGGUUAAUACCCUGGGCUAAUGACGGUACCGUAAGAAUAAGCACCGGCUAACUACGUGCCAGCAGCCGCGGUAAUACGUAGGGUGCAAGCGUUAAUCGGAAUUACUGGGCGUAAAGCGUGCGCAGGCGGUUUUGUAAGACAGGCGUGAAAUCCCCGGGCUCAACCUGGGAAUUGCGCUUGUGACUGCAAGGCUGGAGUGCGGCAGAGGGGGAUGGAAUUCCGCGUGUAGCAGUGAAAUGCGUAGAUAUGCGGAGGAACACCGAUGGCGAAGGCAAUCCCCUGGGCCUGCACUGACGCUCAUGCACGAAAGCGUGGGGAGCAAACAGGAUUAGAAACCCUUGUAGCC